UUCAAUCUAUCUAUGUUGGGGAAGCAGGGCUAGAACUUUGUUAAAUGCCUUCAUUCUUUGAUAUCUCAUAUUCUAAAGGCUCGUCAUUUUCCAAAUUGCUGUGUCCUGAAGGCAUGUUUGGGUAGCAAUCCCAUCUUCACUUAGCGUAGUAUAAUGGCUGCUCAGAAGUUGGUUCGACAGGGUUCUAGGUGGAGAGUGGGUCAGGGUCAUGACUUUGUUGUAUGGGUGGACCCAUGGAUGUUAAAUCAUCAUUCGCCAUAUGUGUCUUCUGUACCAAUGAACUGGAGGGGUGUUUAUGUGGUGGCAAAUUUGAUGCUAGAUUCUCCGCCUAAGUGGAAAGUGGAUUUAAUAGAAUCUCUGUUCACUCCUAGAGAUAAAGCUCUUAUCUAUAGUGUCCCUUUGUGUUCUAGGCAUGCUAAUGAUGAACUUAUUUGGUGGCAUGAAGAUAGGGGCACUAUUCAGUUAGAAAUGCAUAUUGAGUUCUUGUUUCUCAUGAGUUCCAGCAUGGUGCAUCUCCUUCUAAGUAAGUGUGGCAGAAUCUUUAAUCUUUGAAGGCCCCUCCUAAGGAUUAAUUUUUUCCAGGAUUUUAAAGGAAAACGCUAGCUUAGACCUGGUCAUUUGCGAGUGUAUUUGGUCUCACAAGAACAAUUUGGUCUGGAAGGGUAUUUAAUGCACUCCAUUACAGUGGAUACAAUUUGCAAUGAGUUCUUAUCAUGAAUUGGUGGCGGCUAAGCAAAUUCAUUUUAGUGAAGGGUCAGCCUCUACAGCUAGAGUGAUUAGAUGGGAAAAGCCUUCGGGUAAUGUGAUCAAGGUUAAUGUGGAUGCAGCCACAAAUGUUGGGCCUAAUUUUUCUUUGGUGAUGGUAUGGUAGCUCGGAAAAGCGGUGGUGCACUGUUGGGUGCCAAAUCAACUCGUCUUCCAGGGUCCCUCUCUCCAGCAAUAGCUGAAGUCAUGGGUAUCAAGGAGGCUCUGAGUUGGGUCAAGCAAAAGGGUUGGAAUGGUGUCCUUAUCGAGUCUGAUGCGUUAAUGGUUAUAUCUACGCUCACUCAUCCUUUGGGUCUAGUUCUUAUUUUGAUGUUCUUAUAUUUGUUUGCCUCUCUAUUGCAUUAGAGAUUGGUUUUGUUUCUUUUAGCUUUGUGAAACGUUUUGCGAAUGUUGUGGCUCAUUCACUUGCCAAAGCCACACAUUUUAUGCUAGACGUGGGAGAGUGGGAUUGCUUGCGCUCUCAUUUUAUUUUGGAUGCUUUGGUAAAUGACUGUUGCUAGUAAUGAUAUUUCCU
rnacentral:misc_RNA from 1 species